rnacentral:lncRNA from 1 species
CCCGGGUGUCUCCUGUCCGUGGUGGGAAGAAGGGCUGGAGGGCUCGGAAGGGGGUCUCAAUGAACGUGGAGCCGGCUCACGACCACCGAGAGAACUCGCCCCAGCAGGAACGCGUCCAGAGACGAUUCAGAGACAGGGUCUGUUUUGAAGUGAGGCUUACUGUCCUUGAAGUCUGGAAAUAGAUGU